rnacentral:rRNA from 1 species
AGCAAUACGUCAGCGGCAGACGGGUGAGUAACGCGUGGGAACGUACCUUUUGGUUCGGAACAACACAGGGAAACUUGUGCUAAUACCGAAUAAGCCCUUACGGGGAAAGAUUUAUCGCCGAAAGAUCGGCCCGCGUCUGAUUAGCUAGUUGGUGAGGUAAUGGCUCACCAAGGCGACGAUCAGUAGCUGGUCUGAGAGGAUGAUCAGCCACAUUGGGACUGAGACACGGCCCAAACUCCUACGGGAGGCAGCAGUGGGGAAUAUUGGACAAUGGGGGCAACCCUGAUCCAGCCAUGCCGCGUGAGUGAUGAAGGCCCUAGGG